rnacentral:rRNA from 1 species
CCUACGGGAGGCUGCAGUGGGGGAUAUUGCACAAUGGGGGAAACCCUGAUGCAGCGACGCCGCGUGUGGGAAGACGGUCCUCUGGAUUGUAAACCACUGUCCCCAGGGACGAAGAUGACGGUACCUGGGGAGGAAGCUCCGGCUAACUACGUGCCAGCAGCCGCGGUAAUACGUAGGGAGCGAGCGUUGUCCGGAAUUACUGGGUGUAAAGGGAGCGUAGACGGCUGUGCAAGUCUGAAGUGAAAGCCCGUGGCUCAACCGCGGAACUGCUUUGGAAACUGUAUGGCUUGAGUACUGGAGAGGCAGGCGGAAUUCCUAGUGUAGCGGUGAAAUGCGUAGAUAUUAGGAGGAACACCAGUGGCGAAGGCGGCCUGCUGGACAGAAACUGACGUUGAGGCUCGAAAGCGUGGGGAGCAAACAGGAUUAGAUACCCGAGUAGUC